AGCACCCAAAGGUGCCCACCCGCGUGUCCUCAGGGCCUAGCAAGUGUUUCGAAAAUAUCCGUGGAGAGACUAAGGAAGUUCUACGAAUGCAGAGAGUCUGCUCUACAGAAAUGAAGACAAGCACGCGGUCACCCUCCGUCUCCUCGUCUGCCCAGAGUGAGAGGGAGAGAGUUUUCUCUGCGGGCUACUGUGAUCAUUAAAAAAGAAGUCCGG
rnacentral:lncRNA from 1 species